CCCACACCGAGCGCAGCUCCGCAUCCGCGCACAACUCCGCGCCGCGCACCGCCUCCUCCCGCAUGAGCCCCGGGCACGGAGAAAGUGAAAAGUGGCUUUACUCCGGGGCUCGCCAGGCGCCUUGCCUACGCGGGUGUACAGUUGUGUAUGGCUUUUGUGCUACCUCCAGCAUUUUGCUGUGGUUACACGGGGGGUCCAGGAGACGUAUGGGGGGGGAGAGGGGAGGAUGUUGUGCUUUUGUAGGCCCUAAAAAUGGGAUCCGCGGCUCAUCGCGUCAAGCUCGGAUCCCACUAAACCGAGGGCUGCCAUGGAUGCACGGAGCGGGGAGGCCAGGAUACGCAUCACACAGACGGAGGUGACACUCAAACACACCGCUGUGUAACAGAAGGGCGACACCUCGGGUUUUGCAAAAAAAGCACCUCCGAGCCUUCGGGUUGGCAGCGAGUGUCAGAACGUUCUGUUUUGAAAAAUUCUGGCAGUGGCAGAAGAACAGACAAAUUCUAAUGGAAGCUCGACGUCUACAGAUAGGCUCUCCAUGGAUGGGAUUCUAAAGGUAUAGGAAAUAAAUAGAACCUUUCGCGUGUAACAAAGGCGAAGAAAAUCAUCCCUUCCCACCCUGCUGCAGCCGCCGGGGGAAAGGCGCACUGCGAUGCUCCCGAGGUCCCCUUCUGUCACCGUUCUGUCCCGGUGCUUACGGCACCACCGAAGGUUUCCGUCCCCUACAGCAAUCGCUUCCCAUUUCCUCGUUGUUCCAAGCCCUGCCCGUGCAAGGCACCUCUCGAAGUUCAGCGUGAGGGGGACUCUUUACACCUAGUGCCGAGCGUCACUGUGUGAACGCUACCUCUCCUCCAGCAGUACCCCGCUGGCUGGUCUUUAUGGUACAGUGCCGCUUCUCAAAAGAUCAUCGGAUGGGGAAAUUUAGCUCUUCUUGAAACAUUUCAGCAACUGAGCAAUUAGUUCUGAAUGGGGUGGGGGAGGGAAGACGAGAGAGCUUAAAGGAGGGGGGGAGAAGAGGAGCUACAACACAACGAGCCCGAAAACAACAGGGGUGGGGAUGCAUAGGAGGGGGGCUUAAAAUGUUUGUAUUUAAAGGGUGCUCGCAAGGUCUUCUGCACAAUAUGUGCCGCUCUCCUUAAAGGGGCACCGAGUGCCAAUAACCAUUAGUCAUCCGGCAGGGACUUUUCAUUACAGAUCUAUCUUUAGGGGGAGUUCCCCGAAGUCUCCGCAAGGAACAGAGCUGCGGAUUUCAAACGCGGUCCACUUCGAUUCGCGCAGUGCCUGCAUACCUGCUUCAAUAGAAGGGAGCGAUACUCACCCGAGUGUGCGGACAGCCCAGAGGUCCCUGCAGCACCCGUGUCCUCAGUGGAAUACCAUCUUGCAUCCGCGGAAGCUCCCAGCCUCCACUCGAUGUUAACAUUUACGCUAUCUCAAAUACCAGGCUCUCCCAUAGACAUUUUUUCCAGGGUUUUCAAGCAAAUUUCUCGGUGCCAUAACAUUAUGAUGGAAGGAUGCUGAAAUGACAGGCCUCGUAGACGCUUGUCUUAAUCAUCGGCUUCUUAAUUUAGUUUUAGUGCUAUGGUUUUGUGUGUGCGCGUGUGUGUCUGCGCGUGUGUGCGCGCAAGAGAAGGCUCUGACAACCUGCAGCUUCCUAAUGACUGACGAGGCAGGGCUGCUGCCGCAAAGUAACACUUCCCUGGUGUGAAGACCUCUCACUGGGAAGUUUAGUUCACUACUGUUCUCGCAAUGCUAAUCGUAUAACCUGUAACCAAAACCCAGGCAAGAAGGAUACAGCAUGCUAAAUAGAGUAACUUCUAAUCACUAAACGUUAGCACUACGACCAGCUGUUAGGGAUUAACUGAAAGUCGGUUAGAGACAGACACCUAAACUUAAAUAUACAAACGCGGAUGUAAGGGUGGACCGCUGAAUACGUCUUCCUCUCUCUCUUAGCUUCCAUUCAUUCCUCCACCUCCAGUCCCAUUCACCCCUCUUCAAUCUGUAUGACCACCUCUCGCCUUUGUUAGCGCUGCGUUCCGGCCCCGCUCGCCCUGCCCGAGCAGCGGGAUAUCGCUGUCUGCUGAGCUGCUCUUACCUUAAUUGCCCAGGUAACCUGGAAUAAAUAAGACAAGCUUAGAAUCCGGGGGAUAGAGUUAUAAAUGCGUACGUCCAGGCAUUUACUGUACCCAACGCGAUGUUAGAGGUUGUUAAUCUAAGGUGUCCCGACUCUUUUCGUGGACACAUGAUGCCAUCGAAGCGUGGUUAUUAAAUACUCUUUCUUCAUGGCUGAAAAAACCCUCAUUCAUUCCUUAAGCUGUCAGGACAUUUUAGCAGCUUAACCCCUUGGAAGAGCCUGGGAGUGCAGAGCCGCUGUAUUCGUGUAAAGGGGGACUGGAGGCUGGAGCCGCGGGGGGUGUGGGGGCCACAGCAUAUCUGCAUCCAUCGAGCUGACAGUGGUACUCUUUUCCUUCGGCCUUUAAUUAAAAAAAAAAAAAAAAGAAAGAAAGAAAAAAAAGAAAAAAAAAGAAAAACAUACAGGGGGAAAUCUGCGGUGAAUCAUUACCAGUAAGAGUUGUAUCCAGAAUCUGUAUUCAAACCGCACGGCAGCCCUUUGGAUGGCACUUGAGCUGGGGGUCCCCACCCUCAUCCCGGAGCAGGACUCCCUCGGCCCCACAGCGCCACACGGGUCCCUGAGAGUGGGGAACACAGAGCUGCCCCUCCUAGCACUGGCUGUGCCCCACCGGGCUGGGGCCGUGCACUCCCUUCUCCGCUCAGGCUGUUUCACCAGGCACUCCACCAACAUUUUCAUGCUAGAAAGUGCUAAAUUUUUGGACCCUCUCACAGGAAUUCGAGUGCAGACGGAGCUGAGAGGGUCAAAGCAGCCACUUAUUCAGAGCCACCAUAUACAAAGCUACCACUGAAGUGGACGGAAGCUGCGGCCAGGUCAGAGCUAACAGAAUUGGCAUUAGAGCAGGACUUCGAGUGUCCAAAGUCAAUAGUCCCACUUUUAUACAUGGGGAAUUUCCAGAGCGGUUUUUAAGGAAAAAAAAAAAAAAGAAAGAAAAAGAAAAGAAAAGAAAAAAAACAGACUCGAAAAUUAAAGUCCACUAGAAAUAAUUGACGUGCUUUUCCUACAUAUCCUUUUCUGUCCUAUAAACAAGGAAUUAAUCUCACGGGCUUGGAACAAUACGCACUACAUAUUGAACGCAACAUUUCCUUUUUUGGUAGAACUGUAUAUCCAUGGCGCUAAAAAAAAUACAUCAUAUAAAUCCUAAAUUUGUGCACAGUACUUUAUUCUGCUGCCGUGAUAAAUGACCGAAUAUUAAGCCCAGAUCAUCAAACGCUGUGAAAACACAUCGCUGUCUGUAUUGGACCUUUGCUCAGAAAUGCAAAAGGACGAAGGUUUUCUUUCCUUCUCUGCUACAUUCUCAUCCCUGAGCGCAGAGCUAAGCAGACUCAGCUUUGACCUAAGGAACACCUCAGAGCAUUAAAAUUUCAGCAGGCGAUGUCAGCGUUACAUUAAACGAGAGCUCCUCCGGUUCGCUGCAGAGCUGGGAUUUGAAUAAAACGCUCAAUGUUAACAAACAAUACACACGUUUGGCACUUUGUGUAUUAAAUGGAUCAAAGGGAUUUGAUAAGGCACAAUACCCCGUUUGUACAGACCUGAUUGAGUUAAUAUAAUAUCAGCAAAUUUUACAGCGAAAUGAAUCCGUUUCUUUUCUUUGUGUUUAAAACCAGCGCAGAUUACAAAUUUUAAUGAUCUGAAAAUGUUUGGUAUACAAAAUCAUGCUUAUUUCAGUAUUAGCAAAAACACAAGAAAUUUUUCAACACAAACACCCAGCUGUGUCUAUUUUAAAAGCAGUUCAAUGACAGCUUGCACUUAUGAGCAUGCAAUCAGCUAAUUUCGCUUUUUUUUUUUCUUCUGUGUUAAUCAACACUUUCCUUCCUGCAUAUCAGAGUACAAAUAGUAUAGUUACUCCACAGCAGUAAAUGUUUACGUAACCUGUCCUUUCUCAAGAAUCCGGUUACACCGAAUCAUUACAUGCUAGACCGAGUAGGAAAACGCACAGGGCCCAACCGCCCCGAUGGGAUCUUGCUGCACCGCAUUGACAUAUAUUGGUUAAUGCCCAUCAGAACCAUAAUAAUAUGCACAGAGCUUACCUUUCCUCUUACCCCAGCACCGCAGAGCUCAGUCACAUCCUCCACACUGCGCUCUUCCUCAGGAGUUCCCAUAUAUUGGCUUCAGGGUUGUGCAAGGAAAUAAUUACAAAUUAUGAUAUUAAAAACCAAAAACAAACAAACAAAAAAAAACCAGAAAUUCUACAAAAUAAAAUAAAAAAAAACGAAGGUAGUUGAUCAUUGACUUCUACUUCUUUUUGGUCAGUAGCAACCUGUUACGGAAUUGGAUAAAUAAAUACAAUUGUGGUGAGGUCAAGCGAGGUUAAUCCAAUGCACAUAGUUCGUGCCAUGCCCAACUGCAAUUGUUUAUUGCCCAUCCACGGCAAUUGUUGUGGGGAUUUACUCUCUCUUUCUCACAGCCUCUCUCUCGCACACACGCACAUACCCACAAACGCAUAUAGAAAAGGCACAGAGCCGUGGUGGUUGCACUGGAAUAUGCACUGGGUUUCCCGGGACACACAGCUGGGGCAGGGCUGCGGGUGUUAUUUCAACGGAACCAUUUCUCCAGCGGGACAAACGUAAACUUUGGCUGGUUGAAAGCAGCGACGGGCACCGGCUGUACGUUGUGUUGCACAGCGCUCAUUUUAAACGCGAGCGGUACUCUAUCACUCACAUUUCCCCUUCUCCUUUCAGCACGAGGAAGCCGCGGGGCUCAUUUCGCUUUGUUUCGCGGCCGAUUCUCAUUUCUGCCCGUACUCACAGCGGUAACGCCGUGAUGCGGUCGAGCAGCGCCGAGCCCAGGCGGCGCGCAGCCCGCUCCGUGAGCCCCUGAACCAACGCUACCGCCGGAACGGAGCCCCCGUUCCCCUUCCC
ensembl:lncRNA